GGAAGUAAAAAGUCGUAACAAGGUCUCCGUUGGUGAACCAGCGGAGGGAUCAUUACCGAGUUCUCGCAACUCCCAACCCUUGCCAACCGUACCCCAGUCUGUUCUCGUUGCUUCUGGCGGGCCGGGCGGGGGGGCCUCUCGCAGGCCCCCCCGCCCCCCGCCAGGGGCGGCGAGCCCUCUGAACCUUUUAAAAAUCAACCACUGAACCCGUCUGAGCAAAAACAAAAAUGAAUCAAAACUUUCAACAACGGAUCUCUUGGUUCUG
rnacentral:misc_RNA from 1 species